AGAUGAAGGAGGGCAAUUGAGUGCUUUUCCCUUCCGGCAGAUCAGCUCGGAAUUGAUAUGCGUUGGAAGGGGAGAUGGAAGAGCAAACAAAAAGAGAAAUCAGGUCAUUGACGAGAGAUUGAGAUUUUUUGCAG
ensembl:ncRNA ZK792.11 ncRNA